rnacentral:lncRNA from 1 species
UUUAUAGAACUUUUAUUUUGCAUUUUCCUAAAUCUAUAUACAUGUCCACAUAGCAAGGACUUCUAUGCCCUCUGCAGUUUGCCUCUUCCUCUGCUAUUUUUUCAUGUAUGUGUAUGUUUUUUGCCUGUAUUUGCAAUGCCAGCCAUCAUUUGCCAUGUCUUCUAGCGGCAACCUGCAUUUAGCCCAGAUCUGCUGUGAUUAUUCCUUUUCACAAACCACAAUGACUCUGGAAAACCUGGCUGUAAACACCAGCACUGCCACCAGCUAAGGAUCUGUGAUCAGGAGUGCCAUCUCACGGUAACAGGCAGAAGACAAAAGUGAAACCGGGCUGAUGCGAAUCACUGGGAAACUGGCUUUGGCACCUCCAGAGAAUGAACUGUUUCAUAGCCUAGCUGACCAUCCAUGAAAAUGGCUGCCUGGAGAGGCAGUGAUCAGCCCAUCCCUGCAGGGUGAAGAUAAGCUUGUGCAGGCCACUGGCUAACACAGUUCAUCCCAUGCCUCCUACAUACCAAGCACUGUGCCAGGCACUUUUCACGUCUGGCAUCCUCAGAAUCCUCCAAAAGGAGAGGUUCGUGGAGGAUAAUGCUGUCAGGCUUGGAAGCAGCAGUAGAGAUCACGUUGCCCAGCUCUUGGCAUCAUUGGUUCCCAAAGCUCUGAAUCCCCUGGAGAGCUUUUGUAAAAGGUCGGAUUCAGACAAUCCGGUGGAGCACUCUGAAAUUUAGAGGAAGUGGUCAAAUAGAAUUUUCUGGAAUUAUGGAAAUCUUCUAUUCUGUGCAUCUAGUAUAGUAGAAUCUAGUCACAUGUGGCUUUUGAGAACUGGAAAUAUGGCUAAUGCAACAGAGAAAGUGAAUUUUUACUUUUGAUUCAUUUAAAUAUAAAUGGUCACAUAUGACAUCACUGCCAUAUUGGACAUUGCAGUUCUGGAAGAUGGCAGAUGCAGCCCUCAGAAGAAUUAUCAGCCUGAAUGUCUGGGCGGAGCAGAGCACUACCUUCCCACUCACUCUUCCCCUCCUCUCGCCCCCUCCCCUGCCUCACUUGCAUCAGAUUAUGAUGUGAGCAAAAGCAGGAAACAGCUCUUUUGAUAGGCCUGUGAGACUUGCUGUUCGUUGGAGUAGCUAGGCUGCUCUGACUCAUACAGACCCAAAUCCUGGCAACCACUUUUAUGAAGAAAUGACAAUUCAGUCUACUACUUGUCCAUUUUACAUGCCCAAGGAAUGUGAGGGGCCUCUGCUUGGAUCUAGUUUUCAACCUAGUCUAUGGCAUUGAUUAUCCUUUUAAAAGACAAAAGAGGUGACUUCACGGGCACUUAACAUCUUGGCCAUACUGACCCCAGUUGCACGCUACGUAGGAAGUUUUAGUCCAUUUAAACUGAAGUUCCAAUUUUUUUUUUAACAACUAUUUAAAAAUUGUACAUGUCCCAUACAUGACAGAGAAAGGGUUGUCUGGUUGGAUGAUUUUUGGCUUGCAAAAAGAGAACACAAAAGAAAAGCAUACGUUUUAAUACUCAAGAGACCAAAUUUUCUGCUGAAGAGGAAAUGAACUACAUAUCCAGAAGGGUCCUACCAAGAGGCCAAACAGACUGUGUUCUCUUGGGGGAGUUCUCAGUGGUGAUGAGAACACCACUUUUUUUUUUUUUUUAGUCAUUUUCAAGGUGAGAUAUUGACUUGCUGCUGGAGCAGGACAACUGGUCUCUCUUUCAUUGCUAGCAGCAGAGUAAGGGUCUUGCAAGUUUCAGGCAGCAGCAGAGAAAGGGUCUUGCAAGUUUCAGUCCAAAGCAAGAAGAGCUAGGAUUGCACCAGCUGUCUCACCUACUCUGUGCUCACCUGUUUCUGGAUGAAGCACGGUGACAUCUGUUUUAUUGUAAAGAGAACCAACUUUGGAAUCAAAUGGAACCUGUAUUAAAAUCCUGAAUCCGUCACUAGCUUGGACAAGUCACUUCACUUCUCUGAACCUUGUUUUAUUCCAGUUAAGAAUAAUAGUAAGCCAGUCCCACAGAGCUGUAGCAAGGUUAAAAUGAAUGGUUGUCUGUAGAAGCAUUUAAAAUAGGGCUUCAUACAGAGCCAGUACCUGGGGAGACUGAGGGUUUGAACCACAUAGUUCCACUCUGGCAAAUCACAGAGGGGCUGUAGGAUGGUCCUUUAAGGGGGAUGUGUUAUGGGUUAAUUGGAACAGUGCUUCUUAAACUCCAGUGUGCAUUCAUAUUGCUUAGGGGUUUUGUUUAAAUGCAGAUUCUGAGUUACUAGGAUUAUGCAAUUUGAAUGAGCUUGCAGAUAAUUUCAUGGCUGCUGGUCUCUGACAUCACCUUUGAGAAGCAAAGAAUUAAAGGUCCUGUCCUGAUCUGUCUCCUUCUCCUGUUAUCUGUGCAAAAGAGAUAUACUGUCUACUUUGCAUAGUGAGAUGGCAGGUACAAAAGUAGGAUGAGGAUAAUGUAGCAUGAGCACAGAGAAGGAAAACCUAGGAGGAUGAGUAAAGAAAUCAUGGGAAAAGAGAUAGAUUCAAGGCUUUCAAUCCUGACUAGACUUUAAAUUCACCUGGAGAGCUUUAAAAAAACUAGCCAUUGUCUGGUCCCAGGAAUACUGAUUUAAUUGAUUAGGAUGGGACCAGACAUGACAUGUUAAAGAAAAUAACUCCCCAGAUUAUUCUAGUGUGUAGCCAGGGUUAAGAACUGCUGGGCUAGACAAAUGAGACAACUUUCCCAGAUGGAAAGAAUCAGGAAGGGGCCUUAUCAAGAUAUUAUGUCAGGUUUGGUUUUCAGGGGGCUGAUAGGAAAGAAAAAGAAAUGCUUCAUGGAAAUUGCAGGUAAGACAGGCCAAUUGGUUGAAACCUUGACAAAUCAGACCAUUUGAUCAAAUUGUUCCCAAAAUAUGAAAACUCUGUCUCAACCGAAAUAAUCACUUAGCUCUGGGACUCUAAAGCAACCUGUUUGUCUGUUGGGAAGCUAGGGUAAAUGUGAGAAGUGAAAUCCAUGCCAUUUUUUGGAACUGGAGACUUUUUAAUAAUUUCAUUAACAUUGUCAGUUUGGUUGUCCUCUGUGAUCAGAAGCUGUCGAAUGAUGUUCAUUUGAGUACAGAAGCCAGCCCUUUCUGUAGCAUUAACCAGGCCUCAGUCCAGUGGAUCUCUACAGGGUGCCACGAGCCCAGCACAAGUGCUCCAACACAUUCUGACCAAUGAGCAUAAUUAAUUUGUUGUAAUUGACUUUACACUCUUGAAGCCCAGGUGUAGACUUCCUUCUUGUUACCAGAAGCCAGCUCAGACAUGGCCCUUUGCCAGCCUCAACACAAAGCUCAGCUCUCUUCCAGGGUUCCCUAAGAUCUAGGCACGUCAAGCAUCUGAAAAUAAUAUGGUUUUACAGAAGAUUCCUUACAUCCUGCGGUGGGGCCAGCUCAGGCACUGAACAACGUUUUGUUUGAGCAAUCCCCAUUGGACACAUCUCUCCCCCGAAUCCCUGUCUGCACAGCCAAUAAGGUGAUUCUCCUCUGUCACCCUCCUUAGCCCUUGCCCAUUCUUUUAUUCCUUUACAAGACAGCUGGGUUUAGCCCUGUCCUAAGUGCUCCACACUCGGCUGCCUGCACCCAGGCAUAGCAAACACAAAGCCCUUCGGAACCCCAGGCCCACCCUCUUUAGAUACAUGUUAUAAACUGUUACUGUUGAUGAGGUCAUUCCAGUGGGUGUCAAGCUGGGCACAGCUUCUGGUAAGAAGAAGAAAGCAUAGCAGAUUCACAUCUCAGCCAAAGAACCUGGCUGUGAAAAGCCUUUGCCUAAAAGGUCAUGCAGUCCACAGUUCUGCCACACAACUGCAGCCUGGAAUCACAUGGGGAGUUCUUAAAAUGCUGAUGGCUGGGCUGUACCCCUGAAAUUCUGAUUUAAUUGGCCUGGGGUGUGGCCUGGGCAUUAGAGUUUUGUUAAAGUUCCCAAGUCAUUCCUGCCAUGCUGCCAAAUUUGAGAGACGUUGUUCUAAAGAGGCUUAGCGAUAAAGGCCAAGUGAAAAGGACAACCAGUCCUACGUUAUAGUUGCAAUUGCUUUGUCCUUAUUACUGACCUGUUUGGUCUUGUUUUGAGUCUUUUAAUCCCUUCAACUGAACUCUCCAAAAUUCUACUAUUGGACAGUAUAGCACAGAAAGUUUGGG